GUACUGGAGACGAUUCAUCAUUACCUCUGUGGGUAGACUUCGCCUCCACUCGUAGGUUUGAACAAUGGCCCAAUGCAUUUCCUACAGGGCCUUGAUAUUCCGUCCAGAUAACGCAGUCACAUAGGACAGCAGUGCCUUUGAUUUCAAGUUCAGCAUGAAGAGGACAAACAAAGUGAAGAAUACAGGCCGAGAUGCCACGCGAGAAGAAACGCGAAAGAAAAUUGCCAGCGGAACUAAGAAGAGCGCCUGCAACACCGAACUGUUUGCCUUUGG